rnacentral:rRNA from 1 species
AACGAACGCUGGCGGCAUGCCUAACACAUGCAAGUCGAACGAUCCCUUCGGGGAUAGUGGCGCACGGGUGCGUAACGCGUGGGAACCUGCCCUUAGGUUCGGAAUAACUCAGAGAAAUUUGAGCUAAUACCGGAUAAUGUCUUCGGACCAAAGAUUUAUCGCCUUUGGAUGGGCCCGCGUUGGAUUAGCUAGUUGGUGGGGUAAAGGCCUACCAAGGCGACGAUCCAUAGCUGGUCUGAGAGGAUGAUCAGCCACACUGGGACUGAGACACGGCCCAGACUCCUACGGGAGGCAGCAGUGGGGAAUAGUGGACAAUGGGCGAAAGCCUGAUCCAGCAAUGCCGCGUGAGUGAUGAAGGCCUUAGGGUUGUAAAGCUCUUUUACCCGGGAUGAUAAUGACAGUACCGGGAGAAUAAGCCCCGGCUAACUCCGUG